rnacentral:rRNA from 1 species
UACGGGGGGGGUAAGCGUUGUUCGGAAUUACUGGGCGUAAAGGGCUCGUAGGCGGCCAACUAAGUCAGACGUGAAAUCCCUCAGCUUAACUGGGGAACUGCGUCUGAUACUGGAUGGCUUGGAUUCGGGAGAGGAAUGCGGAAUUCCAGGUGUAGCGGUGAAAUGCGUAGAUAUCUGGAGGAACACCGGUGGCGAAGGCGGCAUGCUGGACCGAUAUUGACGCUGAGGAGCGAAAGCCAGGGGAGCAAACGGG